rnacentral:rRNA from 1 species
GUGGACGCCAGUCUGCAUGGAGCCGACCUUGAAAUACCACCCUUUAAUGUUUGAUGUUCUAACGUGGACCCGUAAUCCGGGUUGCGGACAGUGUCUGGUGGGUAGUUUGACUGGGGCGGUCUCCUCCUAAAGAGUAACGGAGGAGCACGAAGGUUGGCUAAUCCUGGUCGGACAUCAGGAGGUUAGUGCAAUGGCAUAAGCCAGCUUGACUGCGAGCGUGACGGCGCGAGCAGGUGCGAAAGCAGGUCAUAGUGAUCCGGUGGUUCUGAAUGGAAGGGCCAUCGCUCAACGGAUAAAAGGUACUCCGGGGAUAACAGGCUGAUACCGCCCAAGAGUUCAUAUCGACGGCGGUGUUUGGCACCUCGAUGUCGGCUCAUCACAUCCUGGGGCUGAAGUAGGUCCCAAGGGUAUGGCUGUUCGCCAUUUAAAGUGGUACGCGAGCUGGGUUUAGAACGUCGUGAGACAGUUCGGUCCCUAUCUGCCGUGGGCGCUGGAGAACUGAGGGGGGCUGCUCCUAGUACGAGAGGACCGGAGUGGACGCAUCACUGGUGUUCGGGUUGUCAUGCCAAUGGCACUGCCCGGUAGCUAAAUGCGGAAGAGAUAAGUGCUGAAAGCAUCUAAGCACGAAACUUGCCCCGAGAUGAGUUCUCCCUGAGACUUUAGGUCUCCUGAAGGAACGUUGAAGACGACGACGUUGAUAGGCCGGGUGUGUAAGCGCAGCGAUGCGUUGAGCUAACCGGUACUAAUGAACCGUGAGGCUUAACCUUACAACGCCG